rnacentral:misc_RNA from 1 species
AACGCACGAGACCUGCGGACCUGCGGAAGGAUCAUUAAUGAGAAGCUGCCCCUCGUGGGUAGACCUCCCACCCUCUGUGAACUUACCUUUGUUGCUUUGGCAGGCCCGUCCUCUGGACCGCCGGCUUCGGCUGGCCCGUGCCUGCCAGAGGAUUCCAAACCCUGUCUGUCAGUGUUGUCUGAGUCUAUAUGAAAUCGUUAGAACUUUUAACAAUGGAUCUCUAGAUCGGAAGAGCACACG